GCAAGACACCGGCCCUCCAGGACCGAGUUUGGGCAGCCCUGAUUUAGGGUAUCAGGAGCAGGAGAUGUCCACAUGACAAGAGUUCAUUAAAUGGUGGAUAAACUUCCUUUUAACAUUAAAUGUAGGCAUCAUGAGCUGGUUCAGACUUGCAGUAAAGCCAGUCUUCGGAUGUCUGUUCUUAAUGGAGCUUUACUGACCAGAAAAAAGAAUUAUGAUGCAAUGGCUGGUGAUGCAAGUCGGUCUGUUUUCUGUAGUUAUAUAUUAAAGCCACACCUAACCUGACAGAAA